rnacentral:other from 1 species
UAAGCCAAGGAUUUGGUUUGUCUCAGGAAGAGACCGGUGUACCAGGAGGGUAUGUCGAACAGGGACUGUGAAGGGAUAGCCGAGGAACGGCAAAACGGUAACCAGGAUGCUUACCGGUCAGGAUGACAAUGGACCACUUCAGGACGAAGUCAGGGACACCUCCAGGAUGGAUGUUGAGAGUCAGGAUAGGAUAUGCUGACGGGUCAGGACGGCCACAGGACAACUUCAGGACGAAGAAUAAAAGGAAUCUGCUGACGGAUUACAGCAAUUCAAUGGAAUGAUGCAGGGAGCACCACAGUAGCGGGAUUGCUGCAAGUAAGACCUAAGGGCGCAACGAAAGUUGCGCCCGUUCUUUUUUUU